GAGAAUAAUGUGUACAUUUGUUUGCUUUUUGAAUUGUUUUUCAUUUUAAUUUGUUUGUUUGUUUUUUUAGUUUUGUAAUGAAGUUGAUGAACAGAAAUCAUGUCCCCUAUGUAACAGAAAUCUUCUGGUCACUGCAACUGAAUGCAACAACCCAUGUGAUCUUUGUGCCAAGGAAACAGAGCCUAAACUUAAAGCAGGCUAUGGCCAGAUGUGUGAUACCGGCAAUCCUCACGAUACCAGCACUGUGAUCCCUGCGGUACUCGACCAUCAGCCUGCCAUUAUAGAAGAUCCAGAGGGAUUGUGGCGCGGGAAUGUUGUUGGACAGCUAGAAAAAGAGAUGUUUCGGGCGGUAGAGGACCGCUAUCCGCAAACAUUUCAAAGGCUAAACAGUAUUCCGAAGCAUUUUCAGCCGUCAACUUUGAAACAACUUCAUGUUUUCAUCAAAAGUUUUAUGCAAAAAUUUGUGCAUCAGUUGGAAGAGGAUGAGCUCACUAGUCUUGAAAAAGAUAUAGAUUUUUUUGAGAGGAUUGGGUUCGAUCUCUCAUGGGCCCAUAGCAGGGUACUGUUAUGGGUGAAAUUCUGAGCCCAUAUCCUGGGAAAUAUCUUGAUGUAUAUCUUGUUUAUGCUGUAUCUGUUUACAUCCGGGAUGCUAGUUCAGGAUAUUGGUAACAUCCUGAAUGGUAUCCUCGGGAUUACUAAUGGAUUAUGUGCAGGCACGUGGGUUAGAAGCUAGCAACGUUAACAAGACCUAUUCCACGGAAGACUCGGUCCAAGUCGUUCAAGGGAAGACGUUGAAGCCGUAUUACUCGGUCCAUAACAUUCAUCAUGGAAUAUUCGGAGUAGCCCAUAUUUGUAGGGAUUAUUGUUUGUAAUUCGUUACUAUAAAUAGGUGGGUAUAUCAGAUCAACUAGGACAUCACAACCACACUUGCUACACUCUGACACUUGCUCUCUCGCAACUUUCACACAAAUUCAUUGUAACACUUAGCGAUCUGAUCUAUAUCCUGCACUGUAUCCUGAAGUUUAAAGCAAUAAGAAGAACAAGGCAGCUGCGAUUGUCAG